AUUGAACGCUGGCGGCAGGACUAACACAUGCAAGUCGAGCGGAGCGGCGGACGGGUGAGUAAUGCCUAGGAAUCUGCCUGGUAGUGGGGGAUAACGUCCGGAAACGGGCGCUAAUACCGCAUACUAUCAGAUGAGCCUAGGUCGGAUAAGAUCGUUGGUGGGGUAAAGGCCUACCAAGGCGACGAUCCGUGACUGGUCUGCGAAGAUGAUCAGUCACACUUGAGCUGAGACACGGUCCAGACUCCUACGUGAGGAAGGGGUGGGGAAUAUUGGACAAUGGGCGAAAGCCUGAUACAGCCAUGCCGAGUGUGUGAAAAAGGUCUUCGGAUUGUAAAGCACUUAUAGUUGGGAGACGUUACCAACAGAAUAAGCACCGGAUAAAUUCGUACCAGCAGCCGCGGUAAUUC
rnacentral:rRNA from 1 species